rnacentral:rRNA from 1 species
AACGUAGGUUCCGAGCGUUAUCCGGAUUUACUGGGCGUAAAGCGUGUUCAGGCGGCUCGGCAAGUCGGGCAUGAAAUCUCUCGGCUCAACCGGGAGGGGUUGUCCGAUACUGUCGGGCUUGAGGGCAGUAGAGGGUGGUGGAAUUCCGGGUGUAGUGGUGAAAUGCGUAGAUAUCCGGAGGAACACCAGUGGCGAAAGCGGCCACCUGGACUGUACCUGACGCUCAAACACGGAAAGCUA